rnacentral:rRNA from 1 species
UGGGGAAUUGUUCGCAAUGGGCGCAAGCCUGACGACGCAACGCCGCGUGGAGGAUGAAGAUUUUCGGAUCGUAAACUCCUGUCGAGCGGGAAGAACACCUACCUGGCGAAUAUCCGGGUGGGCUGACGGUACCGCUAAAGGAAGCCCCGGCUAACUCCGUGCCAGCAGCCGCGGUAAUACGGGGGGGGCAAGCGUUGUUCGGAAUUACUGGGCGUAAAGGGCUCGUAGGCGGCCAACUAAGUCAGACGUGAAAUCCCCAGGCUUAACCUGGGAACUGCGUCUGAUACUGGAUGGCUUGAAUCCGGGAGAGGGAUGCAGAAUUCCAGGUGUAGCGGUGAAAUGCGUAGAUAUCUGGAGGAAUACCGGUGGCGAAGGCGGCAUCCUGGACCGGCAUUGACGCUGAGGAGCGAAAGCCAGGGGAGCAAACGG